UGUAGCUCAACAGCACAGUGCCUGCCUGGCAAGCAGGAGGUCCUGAGUUCAAUUCCCGGUA
rnacentral:tRNA from 1 species